UACGUAGGGUGCAAGCGUUAAUCGGAAUUACUGGGCGUAAAGCGUGCGCAGGCGGUGAUGUAAGACAGGUGUGAAAUCCCCGGGCUUAACCUGGGAACUGCAUUUGUGACUGCAUCGCUGGAGUGCGGCAGAGGGGGAUGGAAUUCCGCGUGUAGCAGUGAAAUGCGUAGAUAUGUGGAGGAAUACCGAUGGCGAAGGCAGCCCCCUGGGAUAACACUGACGCUCAUGCACGAAAGCGUGGGGAGCAAACAGG
rnacentral:rRNA from 1 species